rnacentral:lncRNA from 1 species
AGAACGUGUAUUGGUACUUGCUGCUACUAAUAGGCCUUUUGACCUUGAUGAGGCUGUUAUUAGGAGGCUUCCGAGGAGGUAAAAUUGCAUGUUUGCCUGUUGUGCUGCUACUGCAUCUGUUAUAUGUCAACGCAAGUAUAUUGACUUCCUGCGUACAAAAUUGAUUCCAUGUGCAGAUUGAUGGUGAACUUGCCAGAUGGCCAGAACAGAGAAAAAAUACUGAGAGUUGUAUUGGCCAAAGAAGAUUUGGAAACUGACGUUGAUUUGGAGGCAGUUGCAAAUAUGACAGAUGGGUAUUCCGGAAGUGACUUAAAGGUUGCCUACUAAUUUUUACGAAACCCAUCUAAGCUUUUUACAUACGUAGUUUUAUUUUUGUCGGUUAUAUUCUAUGUAGUUCUAUUUUCUCUUAUGUAAUGGAUUGUCCCAAUUUUUGUUGUGGUUGCAGAAUCUGUGUGUUGCUGCAGCUCACCUCCCCAUUAGGGAAAUUUUGGAGAAGGAGAAAAAGGUUGGUUUUCUGUACAGUGUAACAAAAAUACAAAGCCCUUGUUGAUUUUUUAACUUGAAGUGGUGUGGUUGGUUACUGCAACUAAGUAGUUCUUUCUUCACGUAUCGCAGGAGAGAAGUUUAGCUUUGGCGGAGAACAGACCUGUACCGGAGUUGUACUGCAGCACCGACAUUCGUCCUUUGAAGAUGGAGGACUUCAAACAUGCGCAUGAGCAGGUACGUUGUGACCUAAUAAUACAAUACGGGGUUUUGGCUUCUUGUAGUAUUCUACCGUGGUCGGAAGUGUUCAGUUGUGUUCCGGAUCAUUGGCUGUCUAAGAUUGAAUUCACUGCAGGUGUGUGCAAGUGUGUCAUCGGAGUCGACAAAUAUGAGUGAGCUUCUCCAAUGGAAUGACCUAUACGGCGAAGGCGGAUCAAGAAAGAAGACCUCUCUCAGCUAUUUUAUGUAGAAUAGGUAUUUUUUUCGGUGUAUAGAAGUUGGUUUUGUUUAUUCUUCUUCAUCGAGCUUAUAAGGCGUGGGAAGAUAUCCAUGGAAAUCCCGUCCAAGUUCACGCCCCCAUUUGUACGAUAUAUAUAGGGUAUUUUUUUUCUCCUUUUUCGCAUUUAUUCGAUUUAUAUUUAACACCUCUGUUAGCAAUGUCGUUCCCAGUUCAUAUGCAGUUAUCUAACUUAGCCUUUUCUCUUUGUUAUGGGUCCUUUUUAGCCUGUAAAUGCUAAUCGAUAAAUGAAAGACGUUUUACAAUUUUCUAAUGUUUGCUUAUUUGAGUCGAUCGGUGUAUGAAAGUGUGAUAUUUUGGAGUGUUUGUAAAGGUAUGAUAGAAAGGAUGCAAAGUCGUGUUACAUUAGAAGUAUGCCUGACAAUUUCUAGACUUGUUAACCCGACACCAAACGACACAAUAAUAACAAGUUUAGAGUUGAUCUGUUAACAAGUCACAUUGUUGUGGAUCAUUCGUUAAGAACCCGAUAUCAUUUUUUAAAAUAAACUAAUGAAUUUAGAAAAUUUUCAACCAGUUUAUCAACCAUCUCAGCAAACAUCAUGACUAUAAGGCACAUUAGAUGAAUGAGUACAUUUUAAAGAUACAAGUAAAACAAUAGUAUGAAAAACUAUGAGGCAUGAUUUGCACCAAUUUACCAUUGAAGGCCAAUUUAUCGACAUGCUCUGAAAACGUUGUAGACUGAUGUAGAGCGUUGUGUCCAUAGUCUGUAGGUUAUCUAUAGAGUAGAAAUUCUUCUAUACAUAUUGGCAUGGGCAAAGUUACAUAGGAGCGAGGAGGGGCGGACACUCCUCCCCUCGUCGGAAAUCAAGGCUAGGAGCGAUGGUUCCGCCCCUCUGGUCCUGUUGGAAAUAAUGGAGUCCCGGCUGCUUCUCUGGAUUCUUUGCUGCUGCACGCAGCAGCAGCUUAGAGUUGUAAGUUUUUUUUUCUUCUGAAAAGUCUUAAGACGGAACGAUGCCGUUUCGGUCGAUUGAGUUAAAAAUAAAAAGAAAUGAUUGUAGUGGGGACCAGUAGUCCUCCCGUUUCCUCUUCACAAUCACACCCCGUCCUUUUUAAGAGAACAACAAAGUAUGCCCCAAAAAACUCACAAUUCACAAAUAUACCCUCUAGUUCUGACUUGUUAAAUUAUAUAUUGGCAAUGUAUUUAAUUUUGUAUAUAUGAAUAUAAAUUUUAGUCCACAAUCACCUAAUGUAGAUUAAUAGUUAGCACAUAAUUCAGUCUCUUACUUAUAUGUUAGCAUUAGAUAAUUGGUAGUGAUCAUUUUGAUCGUUUUUGAAGUAGUGUUCAUUUUGAUAUUUUCAAAUGAGUAAAAAAAUGAAGGACGUAUAGGUUUGGAGUUUACCUUAAAAAUAUAGGUCAACUAUAAUUUACACUCUUCACGUUUGAAAUGAUUUUUAAAAUGGACCACGAAGUUUUAAAAUUCUCAUAAUACAUCUGAUAAUACAUCAUAAGAUAUAUUAUAAGUGUAUUAAUUUUUAUCUUCGGCCUAAUUGUACUAUUUAUUAAAUUGAUGACAUUGUGAGCUUGAUACCCUUAUAUGAGCUCACUUGUAAACUAUAUUUGCACCAGAUUGACUAAAAAAAAAUUGAUUUUGACGAAGAUUUAACUGAAACCGAAGGAUGAUGGGCGUUGAAAAUGUGUUUUUUUGGACGACUAGUCAGAAGAAAAAACAAAGCAUUUCGAAUGGAAGAAUUUGCAAUGACCAAAGACAAACUUUUUUCCUCAAAAAGUUUUUCCGACGGCUUAAUACCUUUUCCUACAACAUUUUACCCUUGCUAAUAACAUUUCAUUAUGAAAUGAAUGAGCACAUUAUGGAAUGUUUUCAUGACACGAAACCUCGCUGGCAAUAAUUUUUACCCAUUCAAAUUUUGCCCCCCUUGUCAAUACUUCCUAGCUUCACCACUAUAUUGGUAUGGGUGGUUUGGGUCGGAUAAUCACAAAUUUAUUCAAUGUAACAAUCCCUAACGUCCCAAAUAGUUGAGUGAUAUCUCUUUAAAUAUUUGCCAUUGAUGGGGUGUUUUUGGAGAUUCCCUUCUAGGUCUGUUAAAUGAUAUACAUGUGAUCUUUUCUAGCUUCCAUGUCAUCGUAAUGAUGGGAGUUGAAGCUUUUUCAUCUGUCUUGAAUCUUCUAUCCGAUAGAUGAUCUUCAAAUUAAGAAUAAACUCAAAAAGAAGGAUAAUUAUUUUAACAAUAUUUGACCAAACUUAAAAAGAGAUGUGUUGGACUCUUCGAAAUAGACUUCUCCAAUCAGCUUGACGACAAAUUGAACCUUGUGAGAGUUGAUGAUCUUGAAAAGUGAGGUCAAAGUACAUAUCUUGUUCACUUUCUCUGGCUCAGCCUUGGUUUGAAUCAAGGUAUUAAAUAUCGAUGAUAUCGGAAAUAUCGGUAGUCCAAAAACACGGAAAUUUUGAUGGAAAUAUCGGAAUAUUAUCGAUAUUGAUAAAAAUUGAAUAAAAACCACGGAAAUUGUAAGAAAAACUUAGCAAUUUUUAUUGAAACUUUGCAGAAUGUUUAUUUAGUCAAUUAUCUAUUAGUUUAUCACAAAAAAUUGGAAGGAAAUGCAUUGCAUGAUGGAUUUAACUUAUUUAAGUUGAUUAUAUAGCGAGCUGGCAAACAUUGUGAGUGUAGAAAAUAUGUAGUAAUUAAUGAAAGAAGUUUAAACACACCAUAAUCAUUUAUAUAUAAUGAAUUAGUACAAUAUUUUACACUUUAUAAAUUGCAUGGUAAGAUACAUGAGUGACUUAGUAUCACAUAGAGUUCCUAUGAGGUUCAAAAUUUUGACUAUCUUCAUCAUCUCUAUGUGUAGAGUGUGUGUAUUGUGAAGAGUAGUCAUCAAAUGAUAAAUCCCCAAAAUAGUUUUGCAUGUAAUUGUUAACAUGCCACCCAUAUGGAUCCGAGAUUGGUUGACGUUGUCCAUAAGCAAAAUCAUUUGAAGAUUGAGUCUCAGAUUCUUUCCAUGAGUCGCUCGAUUCCAUCCUAACAGGAAUGAGAUAUGAAGGGUAGGGAAAUGGUUGGUUAUGAGUAUAACCAUAGUUACUACUUCCCACUCCAACAGAGUUCGAAGUUAUAGAUAACGAGUCAUCUUCUUGACUUGACAAAGUCCCCUUGCCUCUUUCUCUACGAGUAUAGUCCUUCCCUAUGGCACCAAUUUCUGGUCCUGCCCACCUACUGUCAUGGUCCUUAUCCUGUGUUGCAUGCGUGAAGUUUGCCUCACUAGUGAAUGGGCUAAUAAAUCCGGGAGGUGGUCCAACAUAGUUUCCAUAUCCACCACUACCUCCAGCUCCACUAUAUCCUUCAACAUUCCCACCUCCGGUGGUAGGUGAGUCUCCUGAUCUUGUACUAGAGCUAUCAUUAGUAUCAGCAGGAUCUUGUGGUUGUGUAGGAUUGGAAGAAGGUGGAAUUCCAGUGUUUCUUGGUCUUCGGCGCAAUAGUUCUUCCAAAGAGUCAGCGCUUGUAGAUCCCACCUCCUCCUCUAAUACUCUUUCUACAUUUAUCCCUUCAUUAUGUGCUUCUUCAACAACUCUUAGAGCUGGGUUGCCUUUAUCAUCAUCUAAAUGAAGAGGUCUAAUCCAUUGAUAAAGUUGGUUACCCUAUGCAUCAUCAUCUUCAGCAACAAUAUUAAACACAUCUAGUGGGUCACCACGGUCGACAUGAUCUAUUUCUGCUUCCUUAUCUCGAAUUUGAAGCUUCAUGUUGUAGUAGCAAUAAACUAUUUUUUCCAACCUACUAUGAGCUAACCUAUAUACCUUAAUUAGAAAUGGCCAAAAAAAAAAAAAAAAAUUAAAACAGGACCAAAAAAAAAAAAAAAAAAAAAAUCUAUUGGAAAAAGAUUUAAGAACAAAAACAUAAAUUAUAUACCUCACCUAGAAAGGGCUUGCAAACUGGAAAACAACCAAAACAAUCCAAAAUGCCUUUUGAGAUGAUUGAAUCGAAAUCGAAACGAACAGACAGACGAAGAGAUGGAGAGAGCAAUCAAAAGGAAAAGAGACGGAACAAAAUGGAAGACAUUUCCAGUAGCUUCAAAAAGCAGGGUGAAUAUAUUGAAGACCAAACCUCACGAUCACUUACACGUGGGUUGGAUAUUUUAAAAGCAGGUUUGGAUUUUUUUUUUCUUCGCUCGGAAAACACACACAUAUUGACACAUGGGCUGGAUAUUUUGAAAGCAGGUUCGGAUUUUUUUUUCUUCUCUUGGAUAACACACACACACACACGCACGCACACAUGCACAGACUACUUCCUUCUCCCUUAUUCCUCUCCUCAUUCAUCUCCGGUUCUCCCCCCAUCUCUUCUCUUCAAGUCUUAUUCCCAGAGCAGACAGACACACACACACCCUACUUUCCCGUGUUUCCCCCUUCCCUAAUCCCUCGAACCUUAUCCCUCAUUUAUGUCCUUGUUUCUUCUCCCCCGGAGCAUAGACCACCACACCCACACCCGCCGAGCACCACAAUGGCGAACACUCCGACGAGCACCAUCACCACCUGUGGAACGUUCCUCAUCCCUUUCUCACCUCCCGACGACCACCAUUAGGCAAGGGGAUCCAUCAAACGGUUUGAUUCAAACCCGAGCAGGUUUUGGGAUCCGGAGAAAAUGGAUUUUUCAUUUACUAUGACGGAGGCGCAUAUCUUGGGUCUGAGCCCGGAUUGUAGUGAGAGAUCUGGGCCGACGCAGCCUCGGCUGCCUUUUCGACGACAGAGCCACGACGAUUGUUUCGAUAAUAUCGAAUAUAUCGCGAUAUUAUUGAUAUUAUCGAUAAUAUCGCGAUAUUUUGACGACAAUUAGAGGGAUACGUGGGAAAAUAUCGGUCUUUCUGAAACGAUAAUAUCGGCAAUAUUUUGCCGAUAUUAUCGAUAUUUUAGUCAUUGGUUUGAACUCCUCCCUUUUAUCUCUGACCCAACAAUAUCUAUUUAGGAGAUCGAAAAUUUGGUGCCAAGUUGUGUGAUAAUAAUAAGAUAAGAGUAUUAGUAAUAAAUAUCAAACUCGUCAUUCAUUUAUAAUAUUUUAAUAAUUUAAUAUUGAAUUUGUCGUUCAUUUAUAAUAUUUCACUUCCACAUGAAGAUAAAGUACUACUCGAAGCCCGAUCCAUUUUCUGUGAGCGGAGGCCACCUUGUUUUGUGUGCCAUGGUCUGCCUCAUUCUGCCUAAGCUUAGUCAUCCUCGUUCUGCAUGCGUCGAGACUGCUUAACACCCAACAUUUUUUACAAAAAUGCACAUUUUUUAUUAUUGGAAAAUAUUUUUCUUGAGUAUUAAGUUAAACUUUUUAAGGAAUUUGGAAGCAAUUUUACGACUUAUUGAACAAAAAAUGUAUAUUUAGUAGAAUAUUUGAGCCGAGAACUAAAAAGAUAAGCAAAAAACAUAGUAGUGAGUCCCAUAACAUUGUCAAAUGGGGUUUGACACUCAAGAAUCUCAACGGAAAGCCUCAUCUUAAUUUUCAAAACUUCACAGUGAAUCGAAGGUGAAAAUAAAUAGAUUGAACGGUAAUUUAUGUACGAAUUUGCAAAACUGACUGAAAACCGUGAGUGUUAACCCAUAUUUUUUUGUAAAAAAUGCAAAUAUUUUAUUUUGUCCAAAUAUUUUCCGUGAGCAUUAAAGCAAUUUGUAUAAUGUAUUUGGAAGUGGAUUUACGAUUUAUUUAGCAACACGUGUAUAUUUAAUAGAAUAUUUAAGCCGAAAAGUAAAAAAAAUAAGUGAACAACAUAGAGACGUUAAAAUGUAUAUUUUAUUAUUAUUAUUAUUUUUGUUAUAAAAUUAGAAAUGUUAAAAUCACUUGUAGGUGAGGCUUAAAAUAAAAAUAGCAAAAUUUUGUUUUGUUAAAUAGUCUUUCACCCUUUUUUGGUUAACAAAGAGGGUUCUAUUAAUAUGUAGUUUAGAUUUUGAUGAAAGAAAAAAUUAACAAAAAGAAAAAUCUGGUUCAAAUAUCGUUAAAUUUAGGUCUUAAAUGGUUGAUUACAAGUGUUCAAAUACGAAUUAUAAUAAAUUUUGCAUGGAAAAAUAUAUUUUGAAGGGCAUGAAUAUAAUAGUUUGUUGUAGUGGUAAGAGAAAUAAAAGAAAAUUGUACAAAAAUGAUUGAAAUUCUUGGGGGUGGCAGAAAGUCACGCCUGCUUUCUGGCACCCGGGGAAUUUCAAUGAUGUUUGUUAAUUUUUCUUUCAGUUCUCUUACCACUACGACAAACUAUCACAUUCAUGUUCUUCAAAAUAUAUUUUUCUGUGCAUGGAGCCUGACUCAUUUUUUGAGCGCCCAGGAGUUCGCCUCAUUCUGCGUGCGUGGAGCCCACCUCGUCUUGUGUGCCUGGGUUCGCCUCAUUCGGCAUAUGAGGUGUUCGCAUCGUUUUGUGUGUCAGAAACCCGUCCUUUUUUUUGUCCAUAGAGCCUGCGUCGUUUUGACAUGCACGGAGCUAACCUCGUUUUCGUGCGCAGGACUGGCCUAGAUUUGUGCGACGUAUCCCUCCUCGUUUCUCAUGCGCAGAGCUCGCCUCAAUGUGCUUGCCGGGAAGCCCGCUCUGUUUUCUUGAGCGCAACCCGCCUUGUUUUGCUUGCCAAUAUUCGCCUCGUUCUGCAUGUGUCGAGCCCGCCUAACAUCCUACUUUUUGACAAAAAUGCAAAUUUUUUAUUUUCGCAAAAUAUUUUUUUUGAGCAUUAAGUUAAACUUUUAAGGAAUUUGAAAGCAAUUUACGACUUAUUGAGCGACAAAUGUAUAUUAAUAGAACAUUUGAGCCGAGAACUAAAAAAAUAAGCGAAAAACAUAGUAAUGAGUUCCAGAACAUUGUAAAAUGGGGAUAGACACUCAAGAAUCUCAAUGGAAAGCCUUGCCUUAAUUUCCAAAACUUCACAGUGAGGUGAAGGUGAAAAUAAAUAGAUUGUACGAUGAUUUAUGUAUGAAUUUGCAAAACCAACUGAAAACCAUGAGUGCUAAUCCACGUUUUCCAAAUAUUUUUUGUGAGCAUUAAAGAAAUCUUUAUAAUGUAUUUAGAAGCGGAUUUACGAUUUAUCGAGUAAUAAGUGGAUAUUUAGUAAAAUAUUUAAGCCGAAAAGUAAAAAAAAUAAGUUAACAACAUAGAGAUGUCAAAAUGUGCGUGUGUAUAUAUAUAUUAGAGAUGUUAAAAUCACAUGUAGGUGAGGCUUAAACAAAAAAUAGCAAAAAUUUGUUUUGUUAAAUAGUCUUUCACCCGCUUUUGGUUGAUAAAGAGGAUUCUAUUAAUAUGUAGUUUAGAUUUUGAAAAGAGAAAAAAUUAACAAAAAGAAAAAUCAGGUUCAAAUAUUGUUAAAUUGAGGUCUUAAAAGGUUGAUUACAAGUGUUUAAAUAUGAAUUAUAAUAGAUUUUGCAUGAAAAAAUAUAUUUUGAAGGGCUUGAAUAUGAUAGUUUAUUGUAAUGGUAAGAGAAAUGAAAACAAUAAUACAAAAAUGAUUGAAAUUCUUGGGGUGGCAGAAAGUCACUUGACUUUCUGGCACCCCAGGAAUUUCAAUCAUGUUUGUUAAUUUUUCUUUAAGUUCUCUUACCACUACAACAAACUAUCACUAGUGUUUAAAUACGAAUUAUAAUAGAUUUUGCACGAAAAAGUAUAUUUUAAAGGCCAUGAAUAUGAUAGUUUGUUGUAGUGGUAAGACAAAUAAAAGAAAAAUGUACAAAAAUGAUUGAAAUACUUGGGGUGGUAGAAAGUAGUUUCAAAAUAUAUUUUUCUGUGUGUGGAGCCCGACUCGUUUUCUGAACAGCCGAGAGUUCACCUCGUUUUGCAUGCACAAAGCCCACCUCAUCUUGUGUGCCUGGGUUCGCCUCGUUCUGCAUGUGAGGUGUCUGCAUCAUUUUGCAUAUCAGAAGCCCGUCCCUUUUUUUGUCCACGGAGCAUGCACCGUUUUGACUUGCACGAAGCCAGCCUCGUUUUUCGUGUGCAGGGGUGGCCUAGAUUUGUGUGUAGUAUCCCUUCUCGUUUCUCAUGCGCGGAACUCACCUUGUUUUGCUUGCCUGGAGGCCCACCAAGUUUUCUUAAGCGCAGCCUGCUUUGUUUUGCAUGCCAAGAUUCAUCACGUUCUGUGUGAGUUGAGUCCGCCUCGUUUUGCCACUACAAGAAAACAUGGAAUAGGUGACCAAAUUUUAUGUGGCGCCCAAAAAUUCUUCACAUAUUUUUUCUAUAUGUGAUGCAUUGUUCAGAGCGUCACGCAUGACUAGUUUUUUAGGUAUGAAAUUUGAGAACAUUUAGGUGAUGAUAAAUACAUCACAUAUUCUAGAAUGGAGUGACGAAAAUCAUAAGCGUCACUUAAAAAUUAUUUUUUAUCUUUUAAGAUUAAAAAGUGGUGACACAAAUUUUAUGAAGUGCUUACUAAAAUAUAUGGCAAGGAACAAUGGCACCCUAAAGAAGUGUGAUAUGUCAGGAAUUUCAAAAAGGUCACAUAUGUGUAUUCUCGGUGACGAAAGUGAUUCAUCACUCUUUCAACAGUAAAUAAAAAAAGAAAAAAAAAAGAAACAUAGUAAAGUAUUAAACAAAUUUGAUAAAGCCCAUCUAAAUUCUAAACUGUUCUCACUCACUUUCCCUUUCUCUAUGUCUCAGACUUCUCCCGUCUCUUGUCCCUGUGACCCAAGCCACCGACGCGUCUCCUAAUCUUCUUCUCUCUAUACCGCGACAUUACCGGUAUCUUUUAAGUUAAACGCUCAAACCCUUUCUCAUCUAUUCGCUGUCUAUCACACUCCACAACCAAAAACCCUAGAGACCAAUUCAACCAACAAGCCAAAUCCACACCAUGUCACGUCUCAACCUUCUUCCAGUUUCUUGCUCCACCACCGAAAACCCAAGAACCCUAACCCUUUCAACCAACUACAUAAAUCUAUGCCAAAUUUCUCCAUGCCUACGAGACUACUAUGUGGCCAAAUGGUUAACGAAUUCAAUUUUUAUCAUUCUUUUUAAGUUAGGGUUUUGGAUAUGCAGGUAAUUGCCUCCAAAUUGAGCACGCCAACAGCCGUCGACCUCUACAUCCAUCUUUCAAGGACUCUAAUUGGGUAAAAUUUGGUUUUUAAUUUUUAGAUUUAUAUAUAAAUAUUAUAUAUCUCCCUCCCGCCUGUCUGCUUUCCGUCACCGUCGAAGUGCCCGGACAUUCAAGCUCUAGAAUCCCCAAUACAUGGAGCUUUUCUGCAUUUCGUUCGCCAAACUUUGGGUAUGUUCUCAAUCUCUAGACCCUAUCCUUUUCCCUUUAACUUUUUGUUUAGUCUCAACUUUAUGGUGUUUUUCUUAUAUUUGUUCUAUCACUGUAAUUUUAAGUUAUUUUAGGUAAUGAAUUUGGUUGAGAAUCUUAGUUAGGUUUGUAAUUUUUUUCUAGUUGCCUGGGUUUGAGGAUGAUUAAUCCACUUUCUAAAUUUUAAUUACUUUGAACUUUGAUUAUUAGGAAACUGCAAUUUCAAAAUUCCAGACAUGAUUAUAUCUCCAUAAUUUCGAUGACAGACUGUUCUAAAAAAGAUUCAUAUGUACUGCCUGAUUAGAUUAUUAGAUUAUUUGUCCUGAAUCCUAAGGUAGAUCUAUAAAUGUUGACAUUUUGCUUAAACGGAAUAGUUUCCACCUCAUUGCUUCAAUCAUGUUUUGUGUCCUUAAAUCCAAGAAAGCUGACUAAACUAAAAUAAACUCUCCCAGUCAUUUAGCUUGGGUGGUGAGAUGAGGACUGAAGGAAUUUUGGUCAGUUUUUGGUCCACCAAUUUUAAAACAGCCACAUAGCCCCAAGAAAAUAGACAACAACUGAUUUCCAGCAAGCUGCCCUUUUCACAUCCAAACUUGUUUUCCCACUUUACAAAUAUUCCUUCGAACUUUAAUUUGUUGUACGGAACCCCUCACACAUUUUGUUCGACAAGCUAGUAUAUUUGCCUCUCAUCAUUUCUAUCCCAUCAUAAUUAUAAACGUUUAAACUAGCUUGAAUAGGGAAAAAGGGAAAAAGAAACACUUAAAGAUCUCUAAUAUUGACAAAGGAUAUGAAUAUAAUCUUUUUAAUUUCAAGCUUGAUAACACAAGUCACUUAAAGUAACUUAUAACUUUCAAGUGCUUGGUAAUGGCGAAUUUUUAUUUUAAAGUAUGUUAUUGUUUAUGCUAAAUGUAAUAUAAGCUUUUUAAAUAAUUGAGUUUGCAUAUCUGGUAUUUUUUAUUUUGAGUUGGGUUUAGUGGAGGCCAUUUGGACUAAGUUGGGAAUGCUCAUUUUCUGGUUUCUGAAUUCCUGAAUGAGAUCAUCAAUUUGAGCAGCUUUCCUUUUCUACUACACUGUGAUGGCAUGCCUAUUCACACGAGAACAAUGUAAAGCUGUGAUCAACUAUUGAAAGUUCCUUCAUCAUUAACUGGUUAGAUUAUAAUCCCAGCCUCUGGAGAUAUGUUUAGCAAUGGCACACAUUCAGUUUGGUGAUUUGGAUAUAUUUUUCACUAGCAUGUUUAGAGGGCCUUUAUUUAUCUUCUACAAAAGAGCACUUGUAUAGAAAGAGCUUGAGAGGCAAACACCGCCUGCCCUAUGAGAAGAAGCGCAAGGCAGGCUCACAAGGUAAUGAAAUUAAAGCACAUAUAAAACUCAUUAUGUAAUUUAGAUAGGCUCAUCUGUUAUGUUUCGUUCUUCUUAAUGUAAUUGUUUCUUCAAUUCUUAUUUUCUUCUCUUUUGUUAAUGUUAUUCAAUUGCUCAAUGCACCUACUAUUGUCUAGACAAACAUACACCUAUGUUUUCUUCUCUUUUUUUUAUGUAAGGAUAAGAUGAAGAAAAAGAAGGAUCAAAUUAAAGGUGAAAGCAUUCAAGAAGCACCUGAGGUAGUGAUGGUGAUCUUUCAAAUGACAAUGAUACUUGUGCUAAACUGAAGACCAUGAUAUGGUUGAUGACUUAUGUAUUUUGUUGUUGGUUUUAAAUAUGCACAUGGUAUACCUAUUUUAUUAUCGACUCAAUGGCUUAGAAUCUUGUUAGCAUUUCAAUAUGUCUAGAGGUGUUAGGAUGCUUAUGUUAGCUUUUGGGAUACUUGGUGUAUGUACUGGAUGUUACCUAACUUAUUGAUCAAUGAAAUGUGAUUAAACAAAGUAUUACCUCAUAUUUGUUAUGAAUGUUAAUUCUAGAUGACGAAGCGGGGUUCGAAUUGUUCCUAAUAGGUAUAUGAAUUUGACACAUGUGACACAAAUUGCGCCACAUGCCAAAGGAAUAUGUGACACUUUCAAUUUCACUUAUCCUUAGCCAUAGCAUUUUACGAUCAGAUUGCGUGAUGAUAAAUUCCUUACUUAUACAUUUGUUAUGUGACGAACUUAUAGGUCACUAACUUUUGUCUUUUGUGACGCUUAUUUCGUCACACGUAAAGUUAUUAAGUGACAAAUGCGGCGUCACUAAUACUUAAAAAAUGUGGUGAGUGAAAAAAUUUGUCACGAAACUAUAGGUGACGUAUAUGUGACAAACAUAGUGACGCUGGAUUUUCGUCAUAUAUAAUCAAAUGUGACAAAUUUUCAUGUUUAUGUGACGAAUGUGUGUCGCCACCUAAGUCAUGUUUUCUUGUAGUGUGUGCGUCGAUCGUCUAACCCCAUGUUUUUUUGACAAAAAUGCACAUUUUUUAUUUUCACAAAAUAUUUUUCCUGAGCAUUAAGUUAAAUUUUUUAAGAAAUUUGGAAGCAGUUUUACGGCUAAUUGAGCGACAAAUGUAUAUUUAGUAGAAUAUUUGAGCCGAGAACUAAAAAAAUAAGCGAAAAACAUAGUAGUGAGUCCUAGAACAAUGUCAAAUGGGGUUAGACACUCAAGAAUCUCAACGGAAAGUCUCACCUUAAUUUCCAAAACUUCAUAGUGAGGCGAAGGUGAAAAUAAAUAGAUUGAACGGUGAUUUAUGUAUGAAUUUGCCAAAUCGAUUGAAAACCGUGAGUGUUAAUCCACGUUUUCCAAAUAUUUUCCGUGAGCAUUAAAUAAAUCUUUAUAAUGUAUUUGGAAGCGGAUUUACGAUUUAUCGAGCAACAAGUGUAUAUUUAGUAAAAUAUUUAAGCCAAAAAGUAAAAAAAAAUAAGUGAACAAAUUAGACAAAAAAUAGCAAAAUUUUGUUUUGUUAAAUAGUCUUUUACUCUCUUUUGGUUGACAAAGAGGGUUCUAUUAAUAUGUAGUUUAGAUUUUGAUAAAAGAAAAAAUUAACAAAAAGAAAAAUUAGGUUCAAAUAUCGUUAAAUUAAGGUCUUAUAUUGUUGAUUACAAGUGUUUAAAUACGAGUUGUAAUAGAUUUUGCACGGAAAAAUAUAUUUUGAAGGGCUUGAAUAUGAUAGUUUAUUGUAGUGGUAAGAGAAAUAAAAGAAAAUUGUAGAAAAAUGGUUGAAAUUCUUGGGGGUGGCAAAAAGUCACGCCUGAUUUUGUGGCUCGUGACUUUCUGACACCCAUGAAUUUCAAUCAUGUUUGUUAAUUUUUCUUUCAGUUCUCUUACCACUACGACAAACUAUCACAUUCAUGUUCUUCAAUAUAUAUUUUUCUGUGCGUGGAGUCCGACUCGUUUUCUCAACACCCAGGAGUUCGCCUCGUUUUACGUGUGCGGAGCCCACAUUGUCUUGUGUGCCUGGGUUCACAUCGUUUUACAUGCAAGAAGCCCGUCCCUUUUUUUGUGCAUGGAGCUUGUGCUGUUUUGACGUGCACGGAGCCAGUCUCGUUUUCCACGCGCAGGGUAGGCCUAGACUUGUGCAACGUAUCCCUCCUCGUUUCUUAUGUGCGGAGCUCGUCUUGUUUUGCAUACUGGAAGCCCAUCCCGUUUUCUUGAGCCCAACCCGUCUUGUUUUGCAUGUCAAGAUUCACCUCGUUUUACGUGAGCUGAGUCGGCCUCAUUUUGCUCAUUUUGUGUGAGUCGAUCCCUCCUAAAACCCUGCUUUUUGACAAAAUGCAAAACUUCACAGUGGGGCAACUUACCAGUGCGGCAACUUAACUUCCAAAACUUCACAGUGGGGCAACUUAACAACUAAGACAACUCUUCCGAAUGUUUAGCGCUUCUUCUAGUGCCAAUUUUGACUUGACUGGCAGCACUUCUAAAAAACUUGACGAGCAAAGGGAAAUCAGAGAACUUCUUCACAACUUUGAUCCUCCAAUGUCUAUAUCAACUAGACGACAACGUCGACAAGCAUUUAAAGAAAAACUGCAACAAGGAAUUCUACGUCCUGGUGAUACUGAUGUCUCAUUCGAAAGUUUUCCAUAUUACCUAAGGUGCAGCAAUUUGCUUUUUAUUUUUAUUUUAUUUAUUGUGCAUUAGAUCAUCAUAUGAUACUGAACUAGCUUCCCUUAUUGUGAUUGGUCCAUAUGUAGUUGGACUCUUAUUGGUCAAUUCUGAGCUCAGACCUUUCCUCAUUUUGCAUUUUUACAGUGAUACAACAAAGAAGGUUUUGAUUGCAUCCACCCUCCCGAAUUUGAGGUGUAGCAAGUUUGGAAAAUAUUUUUCAUCACUACCUACCGGGAGCCCGCGCAUAUUGUUAUCUGGUCCAGCAGGUACUUCUGCCAUUUUAAUUUCUACACAUAGGCUUGUAAUUCUGUGGUUGAUGAUGCUUGUAAAUUCUGAAGUUUGAUAUUUUCUUUUUCUUUCCGUGUUAAUUCAUUAUGUUUUUAUUUUAACAAUUCUUUUGUAGGUUCUGAGAUAUAUCAGGAAACCUUGGCAAAGGCACUCGCGAAACAUUUUGAUGCUAGAUUACUAAUUGUAGAUUCUCUUCUCCGGCAUGGUGUAUGUUCCUUCGUGUUGCUUUUUUAACUAGAAUCUUGUUUGCUUACAAGCAUAUAUUGGAGUUCUGUUGUUGUUGAUCUACUUUUUUUCUAGCAGUUUUCUUCGUCAUUCCAGGAAUUCAAGUUUAGAAUUGUGGAUUUUUCUUUUAAAUAUUUCUUGGAAUAUACUUCUUAAUAGGUUGAUGAAAGUGUUUCCACUCAUGCAAUGCGUGAACUUCUUGAGGUACUCAUCUCCUUGUGUGGUUCUGGAGGUGAUGAUAUUGGCAAUCUUGCAAUCGGUGAACUUCUUGAGGUACUCAUCUCCUUUACACUAACAGGAGCUCAUUUAACUGUACCAAUAUAGUUGCUGUUAAUUUGGUAUUAAUAUCUGCACCAAUGUUGUGCAGGUGGCAACCAAUAUCUGCACCAAUGUUGUGCAGGCGGCAACCAAUGAGAGUAAAAGUCUUCCUUUGAUAGUGUUUUUGAAAGAUAUAGAAUCGGUUAUGGUAGGUAACCCAGAUGCAUAUAGUGUCUUGAAGAGUAAGCUUGAAAACUUGCCAGAGAAUGUUGUUGUGAUCGGCUCUCAUACCCAGUUGGACAAUCGCAAGGACAAGGUAAGAGGCUGAGGAUUUUAUCAGUUAGCUGAUUUUGAACUCACUAUUGUAGUUUGACAUUAACAGCUUUGCUUGAUCUCGCUUUUCCGGUAUGUGAAUUUCCAUUAUCUUUUCCAUUUUAUUUUUCUUGGUGGCAUGUAAUGCUAAUGCAAGUUUUAACUACUCAUAUCAGCAUCUGUAAUCAUGCUGAUUCUGAUUUAGAUUUGUAGACCUUGACAACUGUGCAAAGUGCAUUACUUUCUUUGCCUUUGAUGAGUGAGAGCGAGUCUUGAGUUUUUACUCUCUAACUAAAUUUUUAUCUGAUUAAUUUAAUUCUCAAUUUGCUUUCUGUUCGAUUUACAUUCAACUCGGUCUCACUUUCUCUUGCAAAUGUACACAAAUUCCUCAAGGUCAAUUGAAACAGUCUGAUGAGGGGGCUUUGUUCACAUUGAAAUAUAAAAUUCAACAAUACUUUGCCCUCUUUUUCGUAGAUGAUGAUACUUUUCUUCUGAAAAACCAAGAUGACACAUUUAUUGGUGGUGUUCAGGAUAACCUUGGGGGUAGGCUGCAUGACAGGAGCAAAGAAACUCCUAAAACUAUGAAGCAAGUUCAACUCUCUCGGAUUUUCCCCAACAAAGUGACCAUGCCCCAGGUAGUCAGCCUUUUUUCUUAUAUGGUCAUUGUGCUUAGGGUGGUUCGGUAUGGGAUCCCAUACCGAAACCCUUGUCCCGAUUCCCAUACCGAAAUUUUCGGGAAUCCCAAUUUCAAUACCGAUCCCAAACCAAAUUUUCGGGAAUCCCAAUUUUCGGGAAUCCCGAAAUAGUUUCGGGAUUUCGGGACAAAUCGGGAAUCCCAAAAAUAAUUUUAGGCUUUUGGACUUUUGGGCUUUUGGACAAAAAAAGCUAAUAUUGGUCCAAUUGGACAAAAACCUAAUAUUGGGCCUGCCCACUGAAUGUAACAGCCCCCACAUAUGGGCUUAACUUUUAUUCAACCAAAUAAAAAAAAUAUUGGGCAAACCUGCAAUGUUUAUAAGAGCAGAACGAACAUUAGCAGUUCAGCUGCAUUUUCCACUUGUAUUGUAGCCAAGGUUUUAAAAUAAAUAAAGUAACAAACCCAAAAGCAAAAAAAUUAGUUACAAUCCAAAGUUUUAAUAAUUAAGUUACAAACCAAAAGCAAAAAAACAAAGUUUCAAGUUUAUGAAGAUUGUUGACAUCUUCGGCCCCUUCUUGUUGGCACUUGUAAUUUUCCCCUUGAUGUUGAUGGUUGAGCCCUUCCCCUUACAAUGGGUGGUCGUGGUCGUGAAGGUAGUGAUUGAUUUUGACGUUGUUGAACUUGUACUUGAGGUGGUCGAGGAGGUGGAGGUGGCAUUUCAUUUUCUUGUGUUGUAUUCUCCUCACCUCCCAAAUUAGCCAUGUCUAAAACAAUAAACCACAAAUCAUUUACAUUGAAUUAUAGUCUAAUAGAUAAUAAAUACUAAGAAAAUAAAAGAUGAAAUUAAAUUGUUUACUUACUUCUUUCUAAGCGUUCAAGCUCCUCGUAGAAACAUAAUUCGUCAAGGGUAGGCUCCUUGUCUCACUACUUCUACUUCUGCUACUUCCUUUUCCCCCUCUUCCCCCUCUUCCCCCUCUUCUUCUAUUUGUUCUAAUGCAAUAUCCUCCUCCACAUCCAGAUCAUCAUCCCAACAAUCUUCAUAAUAAUCAUUAUGCAAAUAAUCUUGAGGUGAGGGAGUGCCUAGUUGAAGGGUACCACUAAGUUGGGUUUGUUUUCGUUUUCCUAAUACCAAGACCAUAUGUGUACUAGAUUGGCUACUAGAUCCGUCCAUCCUAACAAAUAAAAUAACAAUGUACAUUAAUAUAUCACAACCACAGUUCAGCAUAGUGUGUACAUUAAUAUAUCACAACCACAGUUCAGCAUAGUGUGUACAUUAAUAUAUAACAAUGUACAUUAAUAACAAUGUACAAUCAAAGUAAAAUCUGACCCAAUAUAUACAUCCUAUGAUAACAUUAACUUGUUACUUGUUUAAAUUAUGUAAUGGGAUUUUAAAAUGGUUAAUGGCAUGCGAUUCAUCACAAAUGAAGUAAGGAAAAUAAUGUGCACAUAUUCAGCAAGCUGAUCACAAGUAAAACAGAUAUAAAUAAAAGACAUCACCAUAAACCUACCUCUUCAUGAAUUUUUGUAAUUUCACGAGCUAGGACGCAUUUUCUGAAACACAAUUACAAACUCACCAAAUCAGUUUUUUGUAAAACCACUAAGUCAGUAAAAGCGCAUAAAUCCAUACAUGGAAGUUUAAUUUGUAACUCACCAUAACAAAAACUAAUAUAUAAUCAUUUUUUUCUUAAGUCAGUAAAGCUUUUAUUGAAGUUGGUAUUUUUUCUUAAUACCUUUAUUAAAAUUGAUUUUUAAUCUGAAGCCUUAAAAGUAUUUACCUUGAAACACCAAAAACUGAAGAAGUCUCUUCAAGAAACUGUUGAAGUUUGUGGGGAGGCACAUAGAAUAUUUGGGUCGUCCCCUCAUUUGCUGAAACCGUCAACCUCUCUCUUCUAGAUCCAACAUGUUUAGAGAGAAAUCCAACUGCAGAAGUAUACUCAGUUUCAGAGUUCUAUAUACAUCUUAUCCACCAAGAAGAAUAUCUGCAGCAUCAUUUCCAUGGAAAACUUACCAAACGUAAACUCAUCCGUGGAGAGGCCAGAUGCAGAGAGAGCAGCCACAAAAGCAGACGGCCCAGGUAUAGGAAUAACAGGGAUGUUUUCAUCCACGCACAGCUUUGCCUGCAAUAAAACUUGAGAGAGAUCCAAUUGCAGAAGUAUACUCGAGAGAGAUCCCCAGUUCUGUGACCUGUCCUGUCCUGUCCGUGAAAGACAAUCGCCCUAGAGAGAGAGAGAGCAGUGGUUGUGUGGUGAAGGAAGGCUGGAGAGUCAGAGACGAGAGUAUGGUGUGGUGGUGGGUCGGUUGCUGGUUGGAAUUCGACAGUAUGGUGAGGGACGACGUUGGUGAGGGUCGGAGGCUCACGGCUGCGCUUCGAAACAAAUGAACGGAGGAAUACAAAAGUGAAAUGUUAUCAUCUGACCUAAAAACAAAUCGACGGCACAGAUUAAAUCCAAAACAAUCAACGGUUGAAAUAAUUCUCUUAUAAUUAAAAAAUUAUAUAUAUAUAUAUAUAUAUAUUUUGGUUCGGUAUGGGAAUACCGAAAAAAUGAAAUGCAAUACCGAAUCCCAUACCGAAAAUUUCGGUUUGGUUUGGGAUUACAUCCCGAAACUUUCGGGAAUUUUGGUUUGGGAUUAUUUUGGUUUGGGAUCGGGAUUUUUUUGGUUUGGUUUGGGAUUUUUGGGAUUUUUUUCCAGCCUACUUGUUAUUGCUUGCAUGAGGUAAUAUUUGUCGGCUAUCCUGGCAGGAUGAGGCUUUACUUUCGGACUGGAAGCAGCAGUUUGAACGUGAUGUUGAAACUUUGAAAUCGAAGUUUUAUAUUGUUGCCAUUCACUCAGUAAGUACAUCUGAUCACAUCUACUUUUUGCUCUUAUUGUUCUUUCCCUUAAAUACGCCUCUCAUGUAUACUGUUCUUACACCUUCUUGCGCACUUAUUGAAACACAAGGAUGUGAAGAUUGUGCACAUGUGCUUGCUAAUGCUAACCGUGAUUCAUUUCCCUGUUGACAUUUUUAGUUAGCAGUUUAGUGGCUAAUGUAGUGUGUUUAGUGCUUUCGAUGCUAUUCCUGUAUAUUUUCUCGUAAGGCUGAUGUUUUCAGGUUCUUAACCGAGUUUCUGUGGAUUGCCCUGACCUUGAAAGUCUGUGCAUUAAAGAUCUAGUGCUUACAACUGAAAGUGCGUUUUCUUGAACUCAAAGUUUGUAGUGCAGAACAUUUUGCAGGGAAUAUUGACCUUAAUAUUCACUUAUGCGAUUCAUUGUAUAAUCCUUUCUUCAACAGGUGUUGACAAAGUAGUAGGCUGGGCUGUUAGUCACCAUCUUAUGCAUUGUUCAGACGCUUUAGUUAAAGAUGACAAACUUGUUAUUUCUACUGAAAGGUUGUACAAUUUCUUAGGACAGUGUAGUUUAAAUAUACCGUAUAUUCUGUUUUCUUAUCAUAUUUUAUGGUUCUGCGCUACAGUCUUAGGGAUGGACUAAACAUUCUACAAGGCAUUCAAAACGAAAACAAGAGCAUAAAGAAAUCACUUAAGGUAAGUUGAUAUUGUGGGGAAGUACCACAAAUGCCUUGUUUCGAGCUCUCUGAAGAUGAAAUGUAAAUUAGAUUUUCCAUAAUCAGGAAAGUAAGUGUAUAUAUAUUGGAUUUAACUCCAUGAUAUUUCAGGAUGUGGUUACUGGAAAUGAAUUUGAGAAAAAACUUCUUGCUGAUGUUAUUCCACCGAGCGAUAUUGGGGUUAGUUUUGAUGACAUCGGGGCCUUGGAAAAUGUGAAGGACACCCUAAAGGAGUUGGUGAUGCUUCCACUUCAGAGGCCUGAAUUAUUUACCAAGGGACAGUUGAAUAAGGUAGAAACAUGGCACUCUUUUCAUUUGUCCCCUUUGGAAAGUGAAACAGUUCUAUGUUGGUGCUUCUUUUCUUUCAUGUUUCUUAUCUGAUUAUCGUCACUUAUUCUACAGCCUUGUAAAGGAAUCUUGCUAUUUGGUCCCCCGGGUACUGGAAAGACUAUGCUUGCGAAGGCUGUUGCAACUGAAGCUGGUGCAAACUUUAUUAACAUAUCAAUGUCAAGUAUUACUUCAGAGGUAUUUUUGCAUUUUAUCGUGGUUGUUGGAACUUGGAUAAACAUUUUGUGACGACUAUUGAAUCCAUAUGACCCCUUUAACUUUUGUUGCAGUGGUUUGGGGAAGGAGAGAAGUACGUUAAAGCGGUGUUCUCCUUAGCUAGUAAAAUUGCCCCUAGUGUUGUUUUUGUUGAUGAGGUUGGUUCAUUACAUUCUAUAUAUUUGCGCUGUCCAGGGAACCUUUUUCUUUAGUUCUCGUUUGGAAAAUGUGAGUUAUACAAAGAGUUUUCUGGAAUAUACCAUGCCAGUUUAUGAGUGUUUGUAGAAUCCUUUUGUUCGUCUUGUUUCACUCAAUUUUAUUCCCGUCCAAUUUGAUUUUUUUAUUGGUACCAUCAUAGGUGGACAGCAUGUUAGGCAGACGUGAAAAUCCUGGGGAACAUGAGGCUAUGCGUAAAAUGAAAAAUGAGUUCAUGGUUAACUGGGAUGGUCUGCGUACAAAGGAUAAAGAACGUGUAUUGGUACUUGCUGCUACUAAUAGGCCUUUUGACCUUGAUGAGGCUGUUAUUAGGAGGCUUCCGAGGAGGUAAAAUCGCAUGUUUGCCUGUUGUUCUGCUACUGCAUCUGUUAUAUGUCAACGCAAGUAUAUUGACUUCCUGCGUACAAAAUUAAUUCUAUGUGCAGAUUGAUGGUGAACUUGCCAGAUGCCCAGAACAGAGAAAAAAUACUGAGAGUUGUAUUGGCCAAAGAAGAUUUGGAAACUGACGUUGAUUUGGAGGCAGUUGCAAAUAUGACAGAUGGGUAUUCCGGAAGUGACUUAAAGGUUGCCUACUAAUUUUUACGAAACCCAUCUAAGCUUUUUACAUACGUAGUUUUAUUUUUGUCGGUUAUAUUCUAUGUAGUUCUAUUUUCUCUUAUGUAAUGGAUUGUCCUGAUUUUUGUUGUGGUUGCAGAAUCUGUGUGUUGCUGCAGCUCACCUCCCCAUUAGGGAAAUUUUAGAGAAGGAGAAAAAGGUUGGUUUGCUGGACAGUGUAACAAAAAUACAAAGCCCUUGUUGAUUUUUUAACUUGAAGUGGUGUGGUUGGUUACUGCAACUAAGUAGUUCUUUCUUCACGUAUCGCAGGAGAGAAGUUUAGCUUUGGCGGAGAACAGACCUGUACCGGAGUUGUACUGCAGCACCGACAUUCGUCCUUUGAAGAUGGAGGACUUCAAACAUGCGCAUGAGCAGGUACGUUGUGACCUAAUAAUACAAUACGGGGUUUUGGCUUCUUGUAGUAUUCUACCGUGGUCGGAAGUGUUCGGUUGCGUUCCGGAUCAUUGGCUGUCUAAUAUUGAAUUCAAUGCAGGUGUAUGCAAGUGUGUCUUCGGAGUCGACAAACAUGAGUGAGCUCCUCCAAUGGAAUGACCUAUACGGCGAAGGCAGAUCAAGAAAGAAGACGUCUCUCAGCUAUUUUAUAUAGUGUUUAAAUACGAAUUAUAAUAGAUUUUGCAUGGAAAAAUAUAUUUUGAAGGCCAUGAAUAUGAUAGUUUGUUGUAGUGGUAAGAGAAAUAAAAAAAAAUAUACAAAAAUGAUUGAAAUGCUUGAGGUGGCAGAAAGUCACUUCAAAAUAUAUUUUUCCGUGCGUGGAGCUCGACUCGUUUUCUGAGCACCCGAGAGUUCACCUCAUUUUGCAUGCACAGAGCCCGCCUCAUCUUGUGUCUGGAUUUGCCUUGUCCUGCAUGUGAGGUGUCCGCAUCGUUUUGCAUAUCAAAUGCUCGUCCCUUUUUUUGUCCACGGAGCAUGCGCCGUUUUGACUUGCACGAAGCUAGCCUCGUUUUUCAUGCGCAGGGCUGGCCUAGAUUUGUGCGACGUAUCCCUCCUCGUUUCUCAUGCGCAGAGCUCAAGUCGUUUUGCAUGCCGGGAAGCCCACCAAGUUUUCUUGAGCGCAACCCCCCUUGUCUUGUGUACCAAGAUUCAUCUCGUUCUGCGUGAGCUGAGUCCGCAUCGUUUUGUGUGCGUCGAUCCUGCCUAACCCCAUGCUUUUUGACAAAAAUGCAAAUUUUUUAUUUUCACAAAAUAUUUUUCCUAAGCAUUAAGUUAAAGUUUUUAAGGAAUUUGGAAGCAGUUUUAGGGCUUAGUGAGCGACAAAUGUAUAUUUAGUAGAAUAUUUGAGCCGAGAACUAAAAAAAUAAGCAAAAAACAUAGUAGUGAGUCCUAGAACAUUGUCAAAUGGGGUUAGACACUCAAGAAUCUCAACGGAAAGCCUCGUCUUAAUUUCCAAAACUUCACAGUGAGGCGAAGGUGAAAAUAAAUAGAUUGAACGGGGAUUUAUGUACGAAUUUGCCAAACCGACUGAAAACAGUGAGUGUUAAUCCACGUUUUCCAAAUAUUUUAUGUGAGCAUUAAAUAAAUCUUUAUAAUGUAUUUGGAAGCGGAUUUACUAUUUAUCGAGCAACAAGUGUAUAUUUAGUAAAAUAUUUAAGCCGAAAAGUAAAAAAAAAAAAAAGUGAACAAAUUAGACAAAAAAUAGUAAAAUUUUGUUUUGUUAAAUAGUCUUUUACUGACAAAGAGGGUUCUAUUAAUAUGUUGACACACCCCGACCUAGAUCGAAGCAUGCUGGCCGUCAUGUGGGAGUGACGUAACCAUGUGCACAGUGCGGAAGCAAUAAAGAUAUUAGGGAAAUGCGAAAGAAUAAAAACCAAACUACUAGCAGUACUAGCUAAGAUAGAGUGCUAGUGCGAGAUUAAAUGUGAAAUACACAACUAGAGCAUAAUAUCCUAGAUGCAGUCAAGUAGGACAAGUACUAAUUGUACAACACCUAAGGGUGAUCCUACAUUUAUGAUGUUUUGUCAGAACCCUUGUCAAAAUCCUCGUGAUCCAGCAAAGCACUUAUACCUAAAACCUGGAGGGGCGCAAAACAAAAAGUGUGAGUGGGCAAAAACAAAGCUUUUCAAAAUCAUUUCAUUUCUCAAAAGUUCUAACCCCUUGCCGUAAAACCUGUAUAAUUUUCCCAGAAAAAUAUAAUAUAUGCUAUAUCAGAAUUCAUGCUCAGGAUGAAAAUCCAUAGAAAUAUAUCAUGCCAAAGUAUCUCAAUGAAAUGCCAUAAGUAAUCUAGUUAAAUAUAUCAGUGCCAGAUAUCAUAACAACUGGAUCUACCUAACUUGACCUGUACGGCUGAGUACAUAGCUCAUAACCAAUCUCAAUCAUAUCAAAUCAAAUCCUGCACACGAGUUGGAACCACCUAAAGUGGUCUGUACGAUAGGAUUAGGUGUAAUAUAAAUAUGCUCUAGUGCUACGAUCACGUGAAGACUGUGCGAAUAAUCGCCGGUCACUUACGAGUCGGAACCACCCAAAGUGGUAUGUACGACAAGCUUGUGCACCUAACUUGGAUCCAAGGUGAGCAUAUGGUGCGGGAGGUGAACAUCACGUGAAUGACUGUGCCCUAACCUUGGACGGGAGCACUAACACCAGGGUGCAAGUUUAUGAGCUCUCAAUACAUCACAUCAUAUCUCACAUAACUGAAGCAAUCACAUAUCUUUAAUUUAUGAACUUACCUGGCACUUACCUGUGCGUCCACAACACUAAUCAUGAAUAUAUGCAACUACUAAUGCAUAAUUAAAAUAGGCAAAUACUUGCAUGGCAUUUCCAAAACGUAAUUUCAUUUAAACACAUUUUCUGGGAAAAAUCUCAAGUAUAUAGGUAUAUACGGAAAACCAAAAGCCCACUCACUGAUAUGUCAAAGGGUAUUAGCCCCCGAGCCUCGAUUGAUGGUGCUCGUCCUCAGGAUAGGUCUCACCUAUAUGCGAAAUAACUUAAUAAAAGUUAUUUAAAGCACAUACAAAAAACUAGGAAAUAACUUCUCAUACAAUGCUCAAAUGGGGUUUUUGAAUAUACCAACGUGAUCUACUCAACACCACGAAUAUCCCCAUAUUUUUAGAAAAAAUUUCCGACCACUCACGUUCCCGCCAAGGCAUGGCUCAACGCGCCUCCAUGUGCGGCCAAACCCUAACCGAAACUUAACUGCCGUUAGGAAUAUUUCGUUAAAACCUUAACAUAAAUUAACGGCGUUACCAGACGCCGUUAGAAUAUUUCGUCAAACUUGACAGAAUAUUCCCUUCUCCUUCCUUGGUUCGCCGGAGUUCGGCACCGGUCGCCGCUGCACUCGCCGAUUUCUAGAAAAAUUUCAAAUCUUCAUAUCUCUUUUGAUUCUCAACCAAAAUUCACAAAAUUUAUACCAAAUUGAAGCUUAGGAUGAGAGGAACAAAACCUUACCACUUUGGGGACCUAAGACCAACGGAAUCUCGCUAGAGAAACCUCGAUAAUCCGACCAAAAAUUGAAACUCGCGAACUGGGACUUCCAAACAUCCAAAACACUCCAACUUUCUUUCCCAAGCUUCGUGAAGAUGUUUUAAGGCUUCCUAUAACCUUAAAACUCCUUGAAAACUUCGAAAUCAUGAGUGCAUGAACAGUAACCCAAAACUGGGUUCUCGGGAAAAUGAGGCCUUCACAUCCAAAUAAUAGUAUCAAUGGAUUCCUGGGCUCUCAAGGAACUUGAAUAUGGUCUCCAAAGGUUCGAUCUGAGGAUGAAAGUGAAGGUUCAAGGUUUGUCCGUACAAUUGUACGGAAAUGGAAGAAAAUGCGAGAGGGAGGAGAGAGAGUCAACAGGAUAGGGUGAGGGUAUGUGUGUGUGGUCCAGAUUGGUCCCCAACCAAAGACAAAUAAACUUAAAAAAAUCUAAUUGGGUCCAAUCUAUUAGGAAAUGAACUUAAUUGGUCCAAAAACUUAGCUUAAAUCACAACCACAACCCAACGCUCAAUGGCAUUUUAGACUUUUCACACCGCCGAUAAAAAAUAUUUCGGGACGGGCUGUGACAUAUGUAGUUUAGAUUUUGAUAAAAGAAAAAAUUAACAAAAAGAAAAAUCAAGUUCAAAUAUCGUUAAAUUAAGGUCUUAAAUUGUUGAUUACAAGUGUUUAAAUACGAAUUAUAAUAGAUUUUAAACGGAAAAAUAUCUUUUGAAGGGCAUGAAUAUGAUAGUUUGUUGUAGUGGUAAGAGAAAUAAAAGAAAAUGUAGAAAAAUGGUUGAAAUUCUCGGGGGGUGGCAGAAAGUCACACCUGACUUUGUGGCUCGUGACUUUCUGGCACCCAGGAAUUUCAAUCAUGUUUGUUAAUUUUUCUUUCAGUUAUCUUACCACUACGACAAACUAUCACAUUCAUGUUCUUCAAUAUAUAUUUUGCCAUGCGUGGAGUCCGACUCGUUUUCUGAGCACCCAGGAGUUCGCCUCGUUCUAAAUGCGCAGAGCCCGCAUAGUCUUGUGUUCUAGGUUCACCUUGUUCUGCAUGUGAUGAGGUGUCCGCAUCGUUUUAUGUGCCAGAAGCCCAUCCCUUUUUUUGUCCAUGGAGCCUGCGUCGUUUUGACGUGCGCAGAGCCAGCCUCGUUUUCCGUGCGCAAGGCUGGCCUAGAUUUGUGUGACGUAUCCCUUCUCAUUUCUCAUGCGCGAAGCUCGCCUUGUUUUGCGUGCUGGAAGCCCGUCCUGUUUUCUUGAGCCUAGCCCUCCUUGUUUUGUGUAUCAAGAUUCGCCUCGUUUUGCAUGAGUAGAGUCUGCCUCAUUUUGCUUGCGUCGAUCCCGCCUAAAACCCUACUUUUUGACAAAAAUGCAAAACUUCACAAUGGGGCAACUUAAUUUCUAAAACUUCACAGAGGGGUUACUUAUCAACUAAGUCUAAGACCACUAUUCCGAAUGUUUAGCGGUUCUUCUAGUGCCAAUUUUGACUUGACUGGCAGCAUUUCUAAGAUACUUGACGAGCAAAGGGAAAUCAGAGAACUUCUUCACAAUUUUGAUACUCCAAUGUCGAUAUCAACUAGACGACAACGUCGACAAGCAUUUAAAGAAAAACUGCAACAAGGAAUUCUACGUCAUGAUGAUAUUGAUGUCUCAUUCGAAAGUUUUCCAUAUUACCUAAGGUGCAGCAAUUUGCCUUUUUUAUUAUUAUUGUGGAUCAGAUCAUCAUAUGAUACUGAACUAGCUUCCCUUAUUGUGAUUGGUCCAUAUGUAGUUGGACUCUUAUUGGUAAAUUCUGCGCUCAGACCUUUCCUCAUUUUGCAUUUUUACAGUGAAACAACAAAGAAGGUUUUGAUUGCAUCCACCCACCCGAAUUUGAGGUGUAGCAAGUUUGGAAAAUAUUUUUCAUCACUACCUACCGGGAGCCCGCGCAUAUUAUUAUCUGGUCCAGCAGGUACUUCUGCCAUUUUAAUUUUUACACACAGGCUUGUAAUUUUGUGGUUGAUGAUGCUUGUAAAUUCUGAAAUUUUUAUAUUUUCUUUUUCUUUCCUUGUUAAUUCAUUAUGUUUUUAUUUUAAUAAUUCUUUUGUAGGUUCUGAGAUAUAUCAGGAAACCUUGGCAAAGGCACUCGCGAAACAUUUUGGCGCUAGAUUACUAAUUGUAGAUUCCUUCAUGGCCCUUUUUUAACUAGAAUCUUGUUUGCUUACAAGCAUAUCUUCUCCUUCUGUUGUUGUUGAUCUACUUUUUUCUAGCAGUUUUCUUUGUCAUUUCAGGAAUUCAAGUUUAGAAUUGUGGAUUUUUCUUCUUAAUAGGUUGAGGCACCACCGCCCAAGGAUUCUGAUUCUGUUAAAGAAGUACCAAGGCUUGAAAGAUUUUCCACAUUUACGAAACGAGCAGCUCGUGCAAUCCGUGAACUUCUUGAGGUACUCAUCUCCUUGCACUUUUCUGGAGGUGAUGAUAUUAACAAUCUUGCAAUCGGUGAACUUCUUGAGGUACUCAUCUCCUUUACACUAACAGGAGCUCCCUUUACUGUACCAAUAUAGUUGCUGUUAAUUUGGUAUUAAUAUCUACACCAAUGUUGUGCAGGCGGCAACCAAUGAGAGUAAAAGUCUUCCUAUGAUAGUGUUUUUGAAAGAUAUAGAAAAGGUUAUGGCAGGUAACCCAUAUGCAUAUAGUGUCUUGAAGGGUAAGCUUGCAAACUUGCCAGAGAAUGUUGUUGUGAUCGGCUCUCAUACCCAGUUGGACAAUCGCAAGGCAAAGGUAAGAGGCUCAGGAUUUUAUCAGUAAGCUGAUUUUGAACUCACUAUUGUAGUUUGACAUUAACAGCUUUGCUUGAUCUUGCUUUUCCGGUCUGUGAAUUUCCAUUAUCUUUUCCAUUUUAUUUUUCUUGGUGGCAUGUAAUGCUAAUGCAAGUUUUAACCACUCAUAUCAACAUCUGUAAUCAUGCUUAUUCUGAUUUCGAUUUGUAGACCUUGACAACUGUGCAAAGUGCAUUACUUUCUUUGCCUUCGAUGAGUGAGAGCAAGUCUUCAGUUUUUACUCUGUAACUAAAUUUUAAUCUGAUUAAUUUAAUUUUCAAUUCGCUUUCUGUUUGAUUUACAUUGAACUCGGUCUCACUUUCUCUUGCAAAUGAACACAAAUUCCUCAAGGUCAAUUGAAACAGUCUGAUGAGGGGGCUUUGUUCACAUUGAAAUAUAAAAUUCAAUAAUACUUUGCCCUCUUUUUCGUAGACGAUGAUACUUUUCUUCUGAAAAACCAAGAUGACACAUUUAUUGAUGGUGUUCAGGAUAACCUUGGUGGUAGACUGCAUGAUAGGAGUAAAGAAACUCCUAAAACUAAGGAGCAAGUUCAACUCUCUCGGAUUUUCACCAACACAGUGACCAUACAGCUGCCCCACGUAGUCAGCCUUUUUUCUUAUAUGGUCAUUGUGCUACUUGUUAUUGCUUGCAUGAGGUAAUAUUUGUCGGCUAUCCUGGCAGGAUGAUGCUUUACUUUCGGACUUGAAGCAGCAGUUGGAACGUGAUGUUGAAACUUUGAAAUCGCAGUCUAAUAUUGUUACCAUUCGCUCAGUAAGUACAUCUGAUCACAUCUUCUUUUUGUUCCUAUUGUUCUUUCCCUUAUUGAAGGAUGUGAAGAUUGUGCACAUGUGCUUUCUAAUGCUAACCGUGAUUCAUUUCUCUGUUGACAUAUUUUUAGUUGGCAGUUUAGUGGCCAAUGUAAUGUGUUUAGUGCUUUCGAUGCUAUUCCUGUAUAUUUUCAUAAGGCUGAUGUUUUCAGGUUCUUAACCGAGUUUCUGUGGAUUGCCCUGACCUUGAAAGUCUGUGCAUUAAAGAUCUAGUGCUUACAACUGAAAGUGCGUUUUCUUGAACUCAAAUUUUGUAGUGCAGAACAUUUUGCAGGGAAUAUUGACUUUAAUAUUCACUUAUGCGAUUCAUUGUAUAAUCUUUUCGUCAACAGGUGUUGACAAAGUAGUAGGCUGGGCUGUUAGUCACCAUCUUAUGCAUUGUUCAGACGCUUUAGUUAAAGAUGACAAACUUGUUAUUUCUACUGAAAGGUUGUACAAUUUAUUAGGACAGUGUAGCUUAAAUAUACCGUCUAUUCUGUUUUCUUUUCAUAUUUUUUAUGGUUCUAUGCUACAGUCUUAGGGAUGGACUAAACAUUCUACAAGGCAUUCAAAACGAAAACAAGAGCAUAAAGAAAUCACUUAAGGUAAGUUGAUAUUGUGGGGAAGUACCACAAAUGCCUUGCUUCCGGCUUCCUGAAGAUGAAAUGUAAAAUAGAUUUUCUAUAAUCAGGAAAGUAAGUGUAUGUUGUAUUGGAUUUAACCCCAUGAUGAUUCAGGAUGUGGUUACUGGAAAUGAAUUUGAGAGAAAACUUCUUGCUGAUGUUAUUCCACCGAGCGAUAUUGGGAUUACUUUUGAUGACAUCGGGGCCUUGGAAAAUGUGAAGGACACCCUAAAGGAGUUGGUGAUGCUUCCUCUUCAGAGGCCUGAAUUAUUUAGCAAGGGACAGUUGACUAAGGUAGAAAUAUGGCACACUUUUCAUUUUUCCCCUUUGGAAAGUGAAACAGUUCUAUGUUGGUGCUUCUUUUCUUUCAUGUUUCCUAUCUGAUUAUCGUUACUUAUUCUACAGCCUUGUAAAGGAAUCUUGCUAUUUGGUCCUCCGGGUACUGGAAAGACUAUGCUUGCAAAGGCUGUUGCAACUGAAGCUGGUGCAAACUUUAUUAACAUAUCAAUGUCAAGUAUUACUUCAAAGGUAUUUUUGCAUAUUAUCGUGGUUGUUGGAACUUGGAUAAACAUUUUGUGACAACUAUUGAAUCGAAUAUGACCCCUUUAACUUUUGGUGCAGGGGUUUGGGGAUGGAGAGAAGUACGUUAAAGCGGUGUUCUCCUUAGCUAGUAAAAUUGCCCCUAGUGUUGUUUUUGUAGAUGAGGUUGGUUCAUUAAAUUCUAUCUAUUUGCGCUGUCCAGGGAACCUUUUUCUUUAGUUUUCUCAUUUGGAAGAUGUGAGUUAUACAAAGAGUUUUCUGGAACUGUUUUAUAAGCUGACAUGGUGGGCUAGUUUGCCUCGGUUAUUAAACUACAGCAGUGUAGGACACUAGUGGAUGGCACGGCCAUGCAAGAUACCAUGUCAGUUUAUGAGAGUGUUUAUUCCCGUCCAAUUUUAUUUUUUUUAUGGCUACCAUCAUAGGUUGACAGCAUGUUAGGCAGACGUGAAAAUCGUGGGGAACAUGAGGCUAUGCGUAAAAUGAAAAAUGAGUUCAUGGUUAACUGGGAUGGUCUGCUUUCAACGGAUAAAGAACGUGUAUUGGUACUUGCUGCUACUAAUAGGCCUUUUGACCUUGAUGAGGCUGUUAUUAGGAG